CUUUAUCAUGAUGUAUCUACUCAGCCAACAGAGUUGAACCUUUCUUUUGAGAGAGCAGUUUUGAAACACUCUUUUUGUGCAAUAUGCAAUUGGGUAUUAGGCCAGCUUGGAGGAUUUCGUUGGAAACGGGAAUACGUAUAAAAAGCAGACAGCAGCAUUGUCAGAAACUACUUUGUGAUGUUUGCAUUCAAGUCACAGAAUUGAACACUCCCUUUCACAGAGCAGGUUUGAAACACUCUUUUUGUAGUGUCUGUAAGUGAACAUUUGGAUUGCUUUCAGGCCUAAGGUGAAAAAGGAAAUAUCUUCCCAUAAAAACUAGACAGUAGCAUUCUCAGAAACUUGUGUGUGAUGUGUGCCCUCUACUGACAGAGUUGAACCUUUCAUUGCAAAGAGCAGUUUUGAAACCCACUUUUUGUAGAAUCUGCAAGAGGAUAUUUGGAUAGAUUUGAGGAUUUCUUGGGAAACGGGAAUGUCUUCAGAUAAACUCUAGACAGAAGCAUUCUCAGAAACUUCUUUGGGAUGUUGCAUUCAAGUCACAGAGUAGAACAUUCCCAUUCAUACAGCAGAUUUGAAACACUCUUUUUGUUGUAUCUGGAAGUGGAUAUUUGGAGCGCUUUCAGGUCUACGGUGAAAAAGGAGAUAUCUUCCAAUAAAAACUAGAUAGAAGCAAUGUCAGAACUUUUUUCAUGAUGUAUCUACUCAGCAAACAGAGUUGAACCUUUCUUUUGAGAGAGCAGUUUCGAAACACUCUUUCUGUGGAAUAUGCAAGUGGGUAUUAGGCCAGCUUGGAGGAUUUCGU
rnacentral:lncRNA from 1 species